AUCUGUUCUCUCUCUCUCACAGAGAGCCAGCUGCUCCCUGGGAACAACUUCACCAACGAGUGCAACAUCCCAGGUAACUUCAUGUGCAGCAACGGGCGGUGCAUCCCGGGCGCCUGGCAGUGUGACGGGCUGCCUGACUGCUUCGACAAGAGUGACGAGAAGGAAUGCCGUGAGUGGCUGCCCGUGGUGGUGGGCGGGGUUGGAUAAGGGUGGAAUUCCAGGCCAAGAACAGGAGUCUGGCUUGGACCUUGCUCCCUGUUUGCUAUGAGCUACUGGGCCAGCUUCCCCUCUCUCUGGGUGCAGUGUGGACCGUGCAGAAGUGUAGUAUGGUAGAGGAGCCCAUGCUUGGAUGAGUAGAAGUGACUCCCAUUAAGCCCUACGGAUGCCUUUCCUGGAUGCUACUCUCACCUUUAGAAUCCCAGGCAUUACAUUAUAUGGUGCCUUUCAGUCAGCAAGGACCGUGUCUGCUGCCUUGGUCCAGGGCUGGAGGCUUACAUGUGACUGUGUGGUAGAGUUCUCCUGAUGAUUCUGUGAGACUUAGUAUUAUAUAGGAGUGGAUAUGUCCCUAUGCUGCACAGUGAGCACAGUGAGCUUGGCUCUAGGUCACCUCCCUGGCAUCCUGGUAGGUCGGCAACAUUGGGAGGCAUGGCCCUGGCUUGUUAGAUGAGCAACUGCUACGGAACCACACAUCUCAGCUCUGUCAUAGGCUUCGGCAGCCAGGCCAGGUGGCAUUUCUGUUGGGAGGACUCUCAGUUCUGGCUCUCAGUUAGCUGUGGCUCCGGGAGGCAGCUGAGGGCAAGAUACUGAAGGGUAGGAACUUGAACUUUUGUCGGAACCGUUUUUUGGGUUUGGGUUCUGUCUGAGGGAGCACUGGGUUUGGAGCCACCUACAGCAGCUAGAGACUUCCUCCCUAGUGCUCUGGAAGAGUGUUUCCCAUUCUGAGGCUGACCUCUCACCUGCAUGGGAUGCGGCACCCCCAUGCCUACUUCUGCUCUUGAGAGAAGGUUUGGGGAGGAGAAACUGGGGAGACUUGGAGGCUGUGUUAAAUUUUGUUCUGUGUGGUUUUUCUCAUUAACUUGUUAGACCUCAUUUUUUUUUAUUAUUAUUAUUUUCCCUUACCUUUUUUUUGUGUGUGUGUUAGGACCCUGUUACUGUGUCCUUGCUUCUAGCAUAACUUUAAAACUUCUAGACAUCUAACAUUUUAAAAUUGAGUUUCAAGUGUGAUGGAAUGUGUGAGUCCUGUCAUCGGCCCGGCUUUAAGGAGCAUUAAACACUCUAUACGAAUAUAGAGUUACCAUUUUCAGGACACUGUGUACCUUUGAACAGCGGCAGAUAGAGACUGUCAUUAGCUGGCGGGUGAUACUCAGCCCAUGAAUGUGUAAAGGAAUGCAGGAUUAGCAGCUAGGCCAGCCUCACCUCUGUUAGUAGCAGCUGUGCGACAUUACUGACUUCUCUCGCCAUCUCUGCCGUCUGUGGGUACAGUCUAGUAUGUGAGAGAGAAUUCAUGCAGAAACGAGAAGAGGUGGUGGAAAGAGACUUGUUUUAAACAAAGGUUGUGUUGGCAGCUGCUUGGAGCUAUUUGGUUUGCUUUGGAGCAGGCUCGUUCCUGGCUAGCCUCCAUCCUACUCCCAAGUGUGACAGAUGCCCAACAGCCAUUUGUCUAGUGUUUGAUGCAGACAUAAUUAAUAUUUUUUGACUAUACCUACAAACACAUCGCCUGUCCAGCUUUGCAUUCAAUGGAGAAAACAACUCCUGCUUAGGCAUUAAAGGGACGUGAACGUUCCUUUCUAAGAGACAAUGAGCUUUCCCUUGAAGUGUCUUUCAGAAUCUUCUCCAGCCAUGGAGCUCAGUGUGAGAUUUGGAAGAAGACCAUCCAGACUCAAACAUGGUCCUCUCCUGCAUCCUUAGGGGAAUGUGUAAUCUUAGAAAUGCUCCCAGAAGCUGGGCAGUGGUGGCACACGCCUUUAAUCUCAGCACUUAGGAGCCAGAGGCAGGCAGAUCUCUGAGUUCAAAGCCAGCCUGGUCUACAGAGUGAGUUCCAGGACAGCCAGGGCUAUACAGAGAAACUCUGUCUUGAAAAAC
rnacentral:lncRNA from 1 species